rnacentral:rRNA from 1 species
UGGGGAAUUUUGGACAAUGGGCGAAAGCCUGAUCCAGCAAUGCCGCGUGUGUGAAGAAGGCCUUCGGGUUGUAAAGCACUUUUGUCCGGAAAGAAAUCCUUGGCUCUAAUACAGUCGGGGGAUGACGGUACCGGAAGAAUAAGCACCGGCUAACUACGUGCCAGCAGCCGCGGUAAUACGUAGGGUGCAAGCGUUAAUCGGAAUUACUGGGCGUAAAGCGUGCGCAGGCGGUUUGCUAAGACCGAUGUGAAAUCCCCGGGCUCAACCUGGGAACUGCAUUGGUGACUGGCAGGCUAGAGUAUGGCAGAGGGGGUAGAAUUCCACGUGUAGCAAUGAAAUGCGUAGAGAUGUGGAGGAAUACCGAUGGCGAAGGCAGCCCCCUGGGCCAAUACUGACGCUCAUGCACGAAAGCGUGGGGAGCAAACAGGAUUAGAUACCCUGGUAGUCCACGCCCUAAACGAUGUCAACUAGUUGUUGGGGAUUCAUUUCCUUAGUAACGUAGCUAACGCGUGAAGUUGACCGCCUGGGGAGUACGGUCGCAAGAUUAAAACUUAAAGGAAUUGACGGGGUCAUAGCU